rnacentral:rRNA from 1 species
UACGGAGGAGGCAAGCGUUAUCCGGAAUUAUUGGGCGUAAAGCGUCCGUAGGUGGUUUAGUAAGUCUGCUGUUAAAGCGCGGGGCUUAACUCCGUAUCGGCAGUGGAAACUACUAGACUAGAGUGUGGUAGGGGUAGAGGGAAUUCCCAGUGUAGCGGUGAAAUGCGUAGAUAUUGGGAAGAACACCGGUGGCGAAGGCGAGUCUCUGGACGACACCUGACACUGAGGCACGAAAGCUAGGGGAGCAAACAGG